rnacentral:rRNA from 1 species
AAGCAUAUAAUUAAGUGGAGGAAAAGAAACCAACUGGGAUUCCCUAAGUAAGGGCGACUGAAACGGGAUGUAGCUCAUGAUGAAAAUCGGUGUACUAGUUGCACUGAGUUGUGAUGUGGAGAAGUUUGUGUCCAAAAGCCAGGGGAAAUUCAUUGGAAUAUGUUAGCAUGGAUGGUGAGACCCCAAUAUUCUUGGUGAACGAGCAAGCCUUCAAAGAGUCGAGUUGUUUGGGAUUGCAGCUCUAAACGGUGGUAAAUUCCAUCGAAAGCUAAAUAUGGGCAGGAGACCGAUAGCGCACAAGUACCGUGAGGGAAAGAUGCAAAGAACUUUGAAAAGAGAGUUAAAGAGUACCUGAACUUGCUGAAACUGAAGCAAAGGAAAUCAAGAAAAGCUGUGCCAUAUUUCUCAACUUGCUUUUGCAGGUUGGGCACUGUGUUGCAGCGUUGUUAGUGGUUGUGAUGUUUUGUACAAGCAGUUGCGGGUUGUUUGCCCGUGAUGUUGAUACGAGAUGUUGCGGCAGCUGACUAAUUGAUUUUCUUUCUCCCGUCUUGA